rnacentral:lncRNA from 1 species
CAGGCAGAUGGAAAGGAAAAGUGGAAUUAUUGUUUUCACCAAAAAAUUUUGCAGCUGUCAGGGUGUGUUUGACACAAGCCUGAUGGCUAAAAACAAAGACAGGACACAUUGUCCCGGCUGGAUAUCAGAGAGCAUAAGAACUCUUCAUGGCCAGCUCUUGGACAUCUUGGGGCUAAAUGAGAUUAAGCUUGCAGGUAUAAGCUGCCAUCUGCUGUAGUUCCACCUGUAUAUUGCCAGGCUAAUAUAAUGGAGGAUGCCAACAACUGAAGAACAGAUAGACGGUGAGUACAUAAAAACUUUGUGUCAGAAGAAGCAAAGGAAUAGCUUUUUCCUGAGAACACUUUUACUAUGAUUGGCAUGGGAUUUCAGUAAGAGCCUUUGUAUUGAAUUGUCCAGUUACUCCCCAGAAAAAUAGCAAAUAAGUGGAUUAGAUACAGAAUUAUCUUCUUGUUACCCAGAAUCAGUCUACAUUCUGGAAGAAGCAAAGUAGAAAAAUUGCUAAGAGUGUGUCUUGCAAGCUGGCUGCAGUGUGGAGGAGAGUUAUGAUGUAGAGUCAGGGAUUACUUUUCCUUUGCUGUGUGGCUUUGACUAGAUGCUACUGACACGUUGUAGACUGGGUCAAAUUGUUGGGGAAAAAACAUCAGUUUAAGGAAGUUCUAGAGCUUCUGAAAGCAAAUGUCAUCUCUGAACCUCAGAAAAUAACCCUUUUCUCUGUCUGAUACUCAGUUGCCAUCAAUUGGAACCCAGCUAGUCAGAACAAUGGACUUUCAUUUCAAUACCAUACUGAGUGAGAGCGUGUAGGGGACGUGCAAGCACAUCCUGUGAUGAUAGCUCUCAUACAACCCAAGUGUGUCAGGUAGCAUGGUCCUGGUAAGUCCAGCCUAAGAAAAGUCCAUGGGAGAUUCUUCUGGAAAGACAAAAGCUGAAUGCAAUGGGAUGAGUGCAUGUUUUUGAAUUCCUCUUAAAGUGGUAAAAAGGGAGGCCUUGCACUUUCUUGUGAAGGAGCACAGUUUGCUACAAGUUAUCUGACGUUCUCAUCAAGUUCUCCUGGCUUAAACAGACAGUAAGGUCCUGCUGGUUUUGCUUGACUGUUUGGGCCAAAUGCGGAAACAGUCCUAAAAUCUGCAAUAGAAGGAAGAUAAAGUGACAGGAAUUCAGGGAAGAUCUAUAAAAGACUGACCACUGUUUGAAAGGUCUGAUUGAUAGCAAUAAUACUCAAUCUUCUCAACCUGUGUGUUGAGCAUGUUGCUCUAAAGAGGUCAUGAGUUCAGAGAAGGUUCUCUCAUGCUCUUCUUUUUGCUGCAUGAAGCAGCACAAAGAUCACAUUUACUUGUGGAGUUUGAAGCAUCCCAUUUCCAGCUGGUGUCUGACCCUAUAAAAGUCAUUAUCUGGUGCAAGUCAAAACAGCCUUCCCCUUGGAUGAAUCAGCAAGUUGUAAAUAGUUGUUAGUUCUCAGCUUCUGUGGCCAGUUCUGGGGUAGGCAGCUAUGAAAGGCUGGCGAAGAUUGGAGAGGAAAUUUUGUCUGCUGCAUAAAGUUUCCUGAUUCAAGCACAGCAAAUGAAGCAGACAGGGCUGUUCUAUUAAUUUCUGUAGUGCAAAAGCAAAGACCAGCAGCUGCCAGCAGGAAAGGGAUAUUUGCUUUCUAACUCCUCUCACCUGUGUGGGUGAAGGAAGCUGGCAAAACCAAAUAUCUCUCUGUUCCCCUUUUAAAUUUGGGCUGAGGAAGAUGCUUCCUUUAUAACAUGUGACUCUGAGAAUAUCUUUUCAAAGGAUAGCAACACCUUUCUUUCUCAAUGUGAAUGCCUGUAAGGGCCACAGUUUAGAUCUUCAAGGGCCACACGCUGUGGGCAAUUAAAAGGUGCUGAUAAACAUGAAGGUGAUCUUUUAUCACAGGCAUCUCUCUUCACAAGCUGUGGUAAGUGUAUCCUUCUUAGUGUAUGAUAAACAUGCUAAGCUGCCGAUUACAAUUUUUAAAGGCAAACCCUGUGACAGAAAGCCAUACUGCUGAUCUUAUUUUGUAAAGAUGCUGCAUGCUGUAUGUUCCUGAACUUCUGUCUGUGCCUAUCUUCUUAUAGUGUAGAGAUAGAAAAUUAUUUGUUACAGUAUUUGUAGCCAAUUUAAUUUAAGAUGAAAAAUCAGUGAGUAGGAGGAGAGGGUGGAGGGGGGGGGCAGGACCUGCUCCAUUUACAGCUCUUAAAAAUAGCAUCCGAAGCCAGAAACUCAUACAAAACUGAACUAGCCAUCAUCCACACGCAAUGCAUUUCCAAACAGAGGAUAUCUACAGUACUUCCCAAUUAUGUUCAGUUCACUGCAGCAGGUGACCCCAAUUUCUUUGAAAAAUCUUUAUAACAGUUCUUUUCAGAAAACCUGCAUGGGGUGCUGAGAAUAAAAGUCAAGGCCAUAGAGUUUCA